UGGCGGCGUGGUUAAGACAUGCAAGUCGAACGAGAGAAUUGCUAGCUUGCUAAUAAUUCUCUAGUGGCGCACGGGUGAGUAACACGUGAGUAACCUGCCCCCGAGAGCGGGAUAGCCCUGGGAAACUGGGAUUAAUACCGCAUAGUAUCGAAAGAUUAAAGCAGCAAUGCGCUUGGGGAUGGGCUCGCGGCCUAUUAGUUAGUUGGUGAGGUAACGGCUCACCAAGGCGAUGACGGGUAGCCGGUCUGAGAGGAUGUCCGGCCACACUGGAACUGAGACACGGUCCAGACACCUACGGGUGGCAACAGUCGAGAAUCAUUCACAAUGGGGGAAACCCUGAUGGUGCGACGCCGCGUGGGGGAAUGAAGGUCUUCGGAUUGUAAACCCCUGUCAUGUGGGAGCAAAUUAAAAAGAUAGUACCACAAGAGGAAGAGACGGCUAACUCUGUGCCAGCAGCCGCGGUAAUACAGAGGUCUCAAGCGUUGUUCGGAAUCACUGGGCGUAAAGCGUGCGUAGGCUGUUUCGUAAGUCGUGUGUGAAAGGCGCGGGCUCAACCCGCGGACGGCACAUGAUACUGCGAGACUAGAGUAAUGGAGGGGGAACCGGAAUUCACGGUGUAGCA
rnacentral:rRNA from 1 species